rnacentral:lncRNA from 10 species
GAGACAGAGUCCUGCUCUGUCACCUGGGCUGGAGUGCAGUGGCGGGAUCUUGGCUCACUGCAACCUCCGCCUCCUGGGUUCAAGUGAUUCUCCUGCCUCAGCCUCCCGAGUAGCUGGGACUACAGGCAUGUGCCACCACGCCCGGCUAAUUUUUGUAUUUUCUAAUGAUUUUUCUACUGCAUAGAUUCAGUUGGAAAGUAGUGAAUCUUUGUGACAAUCUUCUCUUGGUUUACAGAAAUUGCUGGUAGCUAACUUUGCUUUGAAGUCUUAAAAGUUCCCAAACAGACUCCAAAAUGAAGGCUUGAAACUGGAACAGUGGGGCCUCUGGAACUUAGGAGAGAUUCCAAGUGCAUGUUAUGGGACAGAGUGGCUUGUUAAGAAAGUAUAGAGACAUCUGUCUUUCCACCAUCUGACUCAGUAAAACUGUCUCUUUCCCAGAGGGGCCUUUCCCAGCCACCCCCAGCCAAAGUAGCCUUUCCCAAACGGUCCCGCUACGCUGCUGCUUUCUCCACAGCACUCAUCAAUCAAUCUGCACGUGUUCCAUCUGUGAUCAAGUUUCCCCAAUAGGAGGAGAACCCAACAUCGGCAGGGCUCUCGCUGCUCCGCCCCAAUGCCUGCUCACAGUAGGUACUCAAAUGCUUACUGAAUGAAGGAUGAAAUCUUAAGAUUCACUGUCCAACCCCCACCCCUUACUUACCACUAAGGCAGCACAGUUUUAAGGUCUAUUUCAGACUUGUUGGGCAGGGACAGCCCAUUUUGUUAGGGGAGGGAGCUUGAUAGAUAUUAAAGGGCCCUUGAAAGGAAAUAAUUUUUAAAAAGCUAAAUAGAGCCGGGUGCGGUGGCUCACACCUGUAAUCCCAGCACUUCGGGAGGCUGAGGUGGGCAGAUCACCUGAGGUCAGGAGUUCGACACCAGCCUGGGCAACACGGUGAAACCCUGACUCUACUAAAAAUACAAAAAAUUAGUCGGGUGUGGCGGCAUGCGCCUAUAAUCCCAGCUACUUGGGAGGCUGAGGCAGGAGAAUCGCUUGAACCCGGGAGGCAGAGGUUGCAGUGAGCCGGGAUUGCGCCACUACACUCCAGCCUGGCGACAGAGCAAGACUCCGUCUCAAAAAAAAAAAAAAGCUAAAUAGGCUCCCCACCGUGCCCCCCUCUCUCAGUGUGGUUAUGGCAGGAAUAGCUGAGGUAGUUCUCAUUCUCUGCUAAUCCACACUCCCUCCAACAUACACACUGUGUGCUGGAGGGAGCCUAAGUCACAUUUAUACUUGGAGCAACUCUGCUGUCUCUAUGACCCAAGUAGCCAAAAAGAGUUGUGGUUUAGCAAACAGUCAAGUUAUAGAUGUCUUGCAGGGCUAAACUGAACCACUCCUCUGUGAAAUAUUUCCAUUUGAGGCCGGGUGCGGUGGCUCACGCCUGUAAUCCCAGCACUUUGGGAGGCACUGCACCCAGCCCAUGGUUUCCUAACACUGCCUCACUUUGAUCUUGUGUGAAAUUGUGACUCAGUGCUGAGCUUUAGACCCAGAUAAAUGUUGAGGGGGAAUACAGAAGAGAAUUGACCUUUCUGAACAGCUCAACCUAGUUUCUAAAGGCAAGAUUUUACUCCAGCGACAUGUACUGGUGACCAUGAUGUCACUCUGUGAGCUGGCCUCACCAGUAACCCAAACACAACGCUGAGGAAGGAGACCAUUUCCCACCAACAGCACACACCUAUGGCUGGGGUGGCCAAUGAUGGGGCACCAAUAAGGAUAAGAGUCUUUGGCGGCUUUCUUUUUUUGAGCCCAUAUUUUAUCAAUUUAAAGCAUGAGAGCAGCAGAGAUGGAGAGUAGAGAAAAAAACAGGUUUCCCAAGAACUCUGGCAAGAAUGUUGCUACUUGGUGAAGGAAUGGUUAUC